rnacentral:rRNA from 1 species
UGAGGAAUAUUGGUCAAUGGUCGGGAGACUGAACCAGCCAAGCCGCGUGAGGGAUGAAGGUGCUAAGCAUUGUAAACCUCUUUUGUCAGGGAACAAAGGCAUCCACGAGUGGAUGUGUGAGUGUACCUGAAGAAAAAGCAUCGGCUAACUCCGUGCCAGCAGCCGCGGUAAUACGGAGGAUGCGAGCGUUAUCCGGAUUUAUUGGGUUUAAAGGGUGCGUAGGCGGCCUGUUAAGUCAGCGGUAAAAGCCCGGGGCUCAACCCGGCGAGCCGUUGAAACUGGCUGGCUGGAGUUGGCGAGAGGUAUGCGGAAUGCGCGGUGUAGCGGUGAAAUGCUUAGAUAUCGCGCAGAACUCCGAUUGCGAAGGCAGCAUGCCGGCGCCACACUGACGCUGAGGCACGAAAGCGUGGGGAUCAAACAGGAUUAGAUACCC